UUGGACGCUGGCGGCAUGCUUUACACAUGCAAGUCGAACGGCAGCGCGGGCUUCGGCCUGGCGGCGAGUGGCGAACGGGUGAGUAAUACAUCGGAACGUGCCCAGUAGUGGGGGAUAGCUCGGCGAAAGCCGGAUUAAUACCGCAUACGACCUGAGGGUGAAAGCGGGGGAUCUUCGGACCUCGCGCUAUUGGAGCGGCCGAUGGCAGAUUAGCUAGUUGGUGGGGUAAAGGCCUACCAAGGCGACGAUCUGUAGCUGGUCUGAGAGGACGACCAGCCACACUGGGACUGAGACACGGCCCAGACUCCUACGGGAGGCAGCAGUGGGGAAUUUUGGACAAUGGGCGAAAGCCUGAUCCAGCAAUGCCGCGUGUGUGAUGAAGGCCUUCGGGUUGUAAAGCACUUUUGGCGGGAACGAAAAGGACUGUGCCAAUACCACGGUUCGAUGACGGUACCCGCAGAAUAAGCACCGGCUAACUACGUG
rnacentral:rRNA from 1 species